CUUGACGGAUUUCUUCGGAUUGAAGCCUUGGUGACUGAGCGGCGGACGGGUGAGUAACGCGUGGGUAACCUGCCUCAUACAGGGGGAUAACAGUUGGAAACGGCUGCUAAUACCGCAUAAGCGCACAGUACCGCAUGGUACGGUGUGAAAAACUCCGGUGGUAUGAGAUGGACCCGCGUCUGAUUAGGUAGUUGGUGGGGUAACGGCCUACCAAGCCGACGAUCAGUAGCCGACCUGAGAGGGUGACCGGCCACAUUGGGACUGAGACACGGCCCAAACUCCUACGGGAGGCAGCAGUGGGGAAUAUUGCACAAUGGGGGAAACCCUGAUGCAGCGACGCCGCGUGAGCGAUGAAGUAUUUCGGUAUGUAAAGCUCUAUCAGCAGGGAAGAAAAUGACGGUACCUGACUAAGAAGCCCCGGCUAACUACGUGCCAGCAGCCGCGGUAAUACGUAGGGGGCAAGCGUUAUCCGGAUUUACUGGGUGUAAAGGGAGCGUAGACGGCAUGGCAAGCCAGAUGUGAAAGCCCGGGGCUCAACCCCGGGACUGCAUUUGGAACUGUCAGGCUAGAGUGUCGGAGAGGAAAGCGGAAUUCCUAGUGUAGCGGUGAAAUGCGUAGAUAUUAGGAGGAACACCAGUGGCGAAGGCGGCUUUCUGGACGAUGACUGACGUUGAGGCUCGAA
rnacentral:rRNA from 1 species